rnacentral:rRNA from 1 species
GGGUUGUGAGGUUAAGCGACUAAGCGUACACGGUGGAUGCCCUGGCAGUCAGAGGCGAUGAAGGACGUGCUAAUCUGCGAUAAGCGUCGGUAAGGUGAUAUGAACCGUUAUAACCGGCGAUUUCCGAAUGGGGAAACCCAGUGUGAUUCGUCACACUAUCAUUAACUGAAUCCAUAGGUUAAUGAGGCGAACCGGGGGAACUGAAACAUCUAAGUACCCCGAGGAAAAGAAAUCAACCGAGAUUCCCCCAGUAGCGGCGAGCGAACGGGGAGCAGCCCAGAGCCUGAAUCAGUGUGUGUGUUAGUGGAAGCGUCUGGAAAGGCGUGCGAUACAGGGUGACAGCCCCGUACACAAAAAUGCACAUAUUGUGAGCUCGAUGAGUAGGACGGGACACGUGGUAUCCUGUCUGAAUAUGGGGGGACCAUCCUCCAAGGCUAAAUACUCCUGACUGACCGAUAGUGAACCAGUACCGUGAGGGAAAGGCGAAAAGAACCCCGGCGAGGGGAGUGAAAAAGAACCUGAAACCGUGUACGUACAAGCAGUGGGAGCACGCUUAGGCGUGUGACUGCGUACCUUUUGUAUAAUGGGUCAGCGACUUAUAUUCUGUAGCAAGGUUAACCGAAUAGGGGAGCCGAAGGGAAACCGAGUCUUAACUGGGCGUUAAGUUGCAGGGUAUAGACCCGAAACCCGGUGAUCUAGCCAUGGGCAGGUUGAAGGUUGGGUAACACUAACUGGAGGACCGAACCGACUAAUGUUGAAAAAUUAGCGGAUGACUUGUGGCUGGGGGUGAAAGGCCAAUCAAACCGGGAGAUAGCUGGUUCUCCCCGAAAGCUAUUUAGGUAGCGCCUCGUGAAUUCAUCUCCGGGGGUAGAGCACUGUUUCGGCAAGGGGGUCAUCCCGACUUACCAACCCGAUGCAAACUGCGAAUACCGGAGAAUGUUAUCACGGGAGACACACGGCGGGUGCUAACGUCCGUCGUGAAGAGGGAAACAACCCAGACCGCCAGCUAAGGUCCCAAAGUCAUGGUUAAGUGGGAAACGAUGUGGGAAGGCCCAGACAGCCAGGAUGUUGGCUUAGAAGCAGCCAUCAUUUAAAGAAAGCGUAAUAGCUCACUGGUCGAGUCGGCCUGCGCGGAAGAUGUAACGGGGCUAAACCAUGCACCGAAGCUGCGGCAGCGACACUAUGUGUUGUUGGGUAGGGGAGCGUUCUGUAAGCCUGUGAAGGUGUACUGUGAGGUAUGCUGGAGGUAUCAGAAGUGCGAAUGCUGACAUAAGUAACGAUAAAGCGGGUGAAAAGCCCGCUCGCCGGAAGACCAAGGGUUCCUGUCCAACGUUAAUCGGGGCAGGGUGAGUCGACUCCUAAGGCGAGGCCGAAAGGCGUAGUCGAUGGGAAACAGGUUAAUAUUCCUGUACUUGGUGUUACUGCGAAGGGGGGACGGAGAAGGCUAUGUUGGCCGGGCGACGGUUGUCCCGGUUUAAGCGUGUAGGCUGGUUUUCCAGGCAAAUCCGGAAAACUAAGGCUGAGGCGUGAUGACGAGGCACUACGGUGCUGAAGCAACAAAUGCCCUGCUUCCAGGAAAAGCCUCUAAGCAUCAGGUAACAUCAAAUCGUACCCCAAACCGACACAGGUGGUCAGGUAGAGAAUACCAAGGCGCUUGAGAGAACUCGGGUGAAGGAACUAGGCAAAAUGGUGCCGUAACUUCGGGAGAAGGCACGCUGAUAUGUAGGUGAAGUCCCUCGCGGAUGGAGCUGAAAUCAGUCGAAGAUACCAGCUGGCUGCAACUGUUUAUUAAAAACACAGCACUGUGCAAACACGAAAGUGGACGUAUACGGUGUGACGCCUGCCCGGUGCCGGAAGGUUAAUUGAUGGGGUCAGCGCAAGCGAAGCUCUUGAUCGAAGCCCCGGUAAACGGCGGCCGUAACUAUAACGGUCCUAAGGUAGCGAAAUUCCUUGUCGGGUAAGUUCCGACCUGCACGAAUGGCGUAAUGAUGGCCAGGCUGUCUCCACCCGAGACUCAGUGAAAUUGAACUCGCUGUGAAGAUGCAGUGUACCCGCGGCAAGACGGAAAGACCCCGUGAACCUUUACUAUAGCUUGACACUGAACAUUGAGCCUUGAUGUGUAGGAUAGGUGGGAGGCUUUGAAGUGUGGACGCCAGUCUGCAUGGAGCCGACCUUGAAAUACCACCCUUUAAUGUUUGAUGUUCUAACGUUGACCCGUAAUCCGGGUUGCGGACAGUGUCUGGUGGGUAGUUUGACUGGGGCGGUCUCCUCCUAAAGAGUAACGGAGGAGCACGAAGGUUGGCUAAUCCUGGUCGGACAUCAGGAGGUUAGUGCAAUGGCAUAAGCCAGCUUGACUGCGAGCGUGACGGCGCGAGCAGGUGCGAAAGCAGGUCAUAGUGAUCCGGUGGUUCUGAAUGGAAGGGCCAUCGCUCAACGGAUAAAAGGUACUCCGGGGAUAACAGGCUGAUACCGCCCAAGAGUUCAUAUCGACGGCGGUGUUUGGCACCUCGAUGUCGGCUCAUCACAUCCUGGGGCUGAAGUAGGUCCCAAGGGUAUGGCUGUUCGCCAUUUAAAGUGGUACGCGAGCUGGGUUUAGAACGUCGUGAGACAGUUCGGUCCCUAUCUGCCGUGGGCGCUGGAGAACUGAGGGGGGCUGCUCCUAGUACGAGAGGACCGGAGUGGACGCAUCACUGGUGUUCGGGUUGUCAUGCCAAUGGCACUGCCCGGUAGCUAAAUGCGGAAGAGAUAAGUGCUGAAAGCAUCUAAGCACGAAACUUGCCCCGAGAUGAGUUCUCCCUGACUCCUUGAGAGUCCUGAAGGAACGUUGAAGACGACGACGUUGAUAGGUCGGGUGUGUAAGCGCAGCGAUGCGUUGAGCUAACCGGUACUAAUGAACCGUGAGGCUUAACCUUACAACGCCGAAGGUGUUU